UUUUGCAGCAGGAUGUGGAGGAAAACUGACGCAGAGUGAAAACUGGAAGGAUUUCAAAGAGGAAUAAAAAGGACUGAGGCUAUAGACGAGGGUGUAACUAGAUGUUGUUGAGAGAAAAUCUGACCUGCAGGCUUUCUUCUUUUUUAUCUACCACCCACCGGUCUCCUCACUUGAUCCCGUUCUUCCAGCUGGAUGCUCUGAAGUUCCCACUUGGUUUUGGUGCCUCCAGGCCAUGGGAUAGAAGGUAAGCACAGUACCAGCAGCGGAGCUCUUGACCUUUUCAGCAGCUCCAUGUUUGAUGAGAAGAGCCAGCAGAUGGGAGAAGCAGGAGAGCCUCUUUGCAGCUACCUGGCUGGAAAUCCAGAAACAGCUUGCUUGCCAUGGCAACCCCAGUGGUGACUCUGCUUCUCAGGCACAAAGCACCUUCCAGCAGAUGCACACCAGUACAUAACAUGAACUUUGGAAAUUGCUGUUAUAGAGCAAGAAGGAUCUGCUGUAUAAUAAGAUGCCAAACAUAAAAUAAGUGGCCAGGCCAGGCCUGGAGGCUCUGGAAGGGUGAUGGGGCGGCUGGACAGAGCUGCUCGGGAUGCGGAGGGCGAUGAACCUGCCCUCCAUGUAGGCAGGGGACCGGUGAAGUCAGCACCCUGCACCCACAGAGCUGCUCCCAGGCACCAGCUCUGACUCCAGCUUCCCUGAUUUGCAGUAACGUUUUUUUAGCCCUUCCUGUCACCUGCCUGGUUCUUAAUUUGCUUUACAGUACAUGUGCUGCCAAGCUACCUGAAAUAUAUUGAAAGAAACAACACAAAUAUCCUCACAGAUGUGGCAACAAAAGAAUAGCAAAAGAAAGAAUUCCCUUAAAGGGGAGGAAAGAAAAAAAUAAAGCAAGGAAAGAAGGAAGACUUGGAUAUUUUGUCAGGUAUAUUUGAAAGAAAUGCACUACAGCUCUGAGCAAUAGUGACAGGAUGAUCCUGGGUGAACAGAAGAUGAAUCAAUGGACCAGCCUGUGCUUCAUGAGAUAUGAUGAUCUUCUCUCAGAUGCUAAAAGGGAACCUGUUUGGGUUUGGACAUCUGGGAAAGACGAUGCAAAGCCAGCAAGAUCUCCUGUUGGCCCAUGGAAAAUCACCUGCCUGGACAGCAGAAGACCAGCAAAUCACAGGUAUGAAAGUGGAUCUGCCAACUUCUGUGCAGAACAUCUACCGGUGCAUUUAGGCUGCCUAAAGCUCCUGAUCUUCACAUCUCCCUGGGUAAACUUUGGAUUAUCUGGAUUUUUAUCCACACAUGGAAGGUGAAAUAGCCUAAAUCUUAAUGAUUUGUGGGAUAAGGCUGCUUUUCAGUGUUAAUAAAUACAUUAGCCUCUUUGUCAGUGAGGAGUAAAGAGCUGUUUUGAAUUCAUGGUGCAUUUUUAAAGGUUCUUUCAAAGAUUACUUCUUUUUUUCUCUCUACUCAUGUAUCUCAGAAGAAACCAGCCUGCCAAACUGCUCCAGGAAGCUCUUCUGAGAUAGAGACAUCCAUUUCUGUGUACGGUCUGUACUUGUGAAGCAGUGCAUAAAGCCCUUUUUCCAUUUAAUCCAUAUUAAUUAUCCCUCUGCAGCUCCUCUAUAGUUUCCACUCAGCCUAGGUGUCAAAACAUGUGUGGCUGCAUCUCGAACAAACCAGACCCUUUCACUGCACACCUGGUAAGUCAACUGUCCAAAAAUAAAAAUAAAUAAAAAAGAUUUACUGCUGAAGAAUUGAGGCUCUCCUUGCUUGAAAACUGAAUGCCUUGGGACUGUGGACUAAGGCAGAUAUUUUUAGUGCCAUCAAUAUCUCCUGGAGUUGAUAUCUCCCAAGACAGAUGGUUGUUUCCCACAGAACGUUGUCAAAUGUUUGCUCAGCCAAGAUCAAUUUUGUUCCAACUCCUUUCCCACCUUCUGGUGAAAUAUAUUUCACUUGCCAGACAAAAAAUUAAAGAAACAGCAUGAAACCGUGUCUCUCUGGAGGGUUCUUAUUCCCAUAGCUCUCCUCUGUCCUUUAGCUGUGUGACUGACAUCUCUCUUGAUGCUCACAGAAGAAUAGAUGCACUCACAGUAGAAGCAUGAUGCCAGAAAAACGAGGGCUCGGGUCUCAUGUCAGAGGCUGAUUUCUGCCAAGACCUACAAGUCACUUCUCAGCCUGUCAAAGGGUCUUGCUGUCACACUUUGCUGUUAGAUCUCCUAAAACCAAAAAAAUCCUGAGGUCUUAUCCUGAGCACCUUGAACUGAUCUCAUAAGAAAAUGAGGUGGAAGGAGGAACAGAAGUGGUGCUGAGGAGAUGCUGGAAGGAGGCACAGAGAGGCUGAGUUGUGUCCAUUGCUUGGCAAAACUGCAGUGAUUUUUUUAAUUACAAGCCCACGUGAGUUCGGAGAUGCGGAGCCCAUUCGUGGUGUCUGGCAGCAUGCUGGACUGGGUGGAUUUUCAGCUGAAAUUAGGGGUGGGGAGGGGCAAAGGACUUUUUAAAGGGUUCCAUGGAAGGUAUUUCCAGUGAUGCCCUAUUUGUAAAAAAUGACACCAUAAAAAAAAAAGUUUCAUUGCUUUUCCUUGCUGGUUGAUACUUUUAGCAGAGCUUGACUUGUCAGAGUAGUACGGGGGACAGAGUUGGUACUUUCCAAAGUACAAACUCCUUUACAAUGCCUAAUUGUUAAAAAAGAGAAAUUACAGCAGCUAGUACCAGUUUCUGAAAUCUUAUUCCUUCCUGUUUUGCUUUUUCUUGUUGUGGCUGUUUAGGCUGAAAAUUAUUAAUAUAAGGUUGUCUUCUGGCUAGGACAUUGGCAAUCCAGGAUCAGUAGGAUAUCUCCCAUCUUUAUCACUUCAUACAUAAUAAUUCUGAUUUAGUUUUGUAAUUCUAAAUCCUUUUGAAAGUGCUACAAAAUCAAAUUCUUUCUUCUGCACAUUGAAAGGUAAAUUAGAUCAUCCAGAAAAUUCUUUCCAUGUUGCUCUAUAAUCAAGUGAAGAAGGGAAAUCAGUGCUGUGAUGCCCAAAAAUAUUUUUUCAUCUUUAAUUUAGUUGUGAGACUCAUCUGUUCACACCAGCCUGACUUCUUAAGCACCCCUAUAUCCUCAGACUGCUUUUGUGGAAGAGGAUUUUGGGUGGAAGAAACCUGCCAGUCUUGGUACUGUGCCUCUUGUUUGCGGUUUGCUGGGGAUUCAUUAAUAGUGGAGUCCUACAUUUUCUUAAGGAUUAUAGAUUCCUGAUCCUUAACUUAUGUAGGAGGUGGUUUUGGCCUCCUCCUGCCAAACAAGCAUCUUUGCCAUUUUCAGAAUACUAUGUAUGUACUAGGUAUAUGUAUGAACAUACAUACAUAUAUGCCCAACUUAUUACUAAAUUGUUAACCUGCAGACAUUGCUUUCUGUUAUCUGGCAAAGUCACGUGCAAGUCAUAAUCUUUUCUAUCUGUAAAGGCUUUUCGUAUUGGGAAUCUAAUUGCCUGUAUGGAUUCUUUUUUUUAUGAAAACCUAUCAAUGGAGGCAACGCAGUGUCAUAUCGGCUCCUGGGAGAGCCUAGAUGUGUGAUGGCAAUCAGUCAGUUGGGCUGCAUGUGGGCUUGGGACAACCCAAUCCCCACCCUCUUUUAAGAGGCAUGCUCAUACAAACAGAAAGGAAGGAAAUGCAACAAUUCCACAUACAGAAACCAGAGAGGAAAACCACACACAAACUUGGGGGUGGCUGGGGAUGGUGUUAAUUAUUAGGUGUUAAUUAUUAAGCCUUAUUUUGUCUGUAUGUUCCUACUUAGUGGUCAGCGGACCACUCUUGCUCUGAGUUGCUUUGAGCUGUAAGGAGAAAAAGCUUUUGCUUUCUUCUUGAGAAUAUUCAGGUGCAAAGGCCAAGCUCUCACCCUUCUCCCAGAUGCAUUAAUUCACAGAACAGAGGUGGAACAUCGUCAUCAUUAAGAUCCAAAUCAAGCUGUCUAUCCUGUAAAGGAUCCCCCUGCCUGAAGCAAACCAGAACUAUUAAUGCAUUUUUUAUAAACAAUGCUGUUAAAAAUGCAUGAAAGAUGUGUUGUAAAUAUUAAAACGGAACUAUCACUUUUUUCUUACUCCAUGAAACAUAGCACAAAAAUCUCCAGGUCAAAUUCCUUCUGAUGCAAAUUAAGCUACGCAAUUUCAAGAGUUUUGCCCGUGUCCUUUACUAUGGUAUUACAGCUUCUGCAAGAGCUCUGAAACAACCCUGUCAGGAAGUUCGCAAAUGUGGCUGGUUCAAUUAUGGAACUACGCAAUAGUCAAGUUAUAAAAACACUUGAAUGUGAACAGAGCAAUUACAGAGAACAUUUAUGAAUAUUUAAAGAGCUUUUGUAGUCUCCUAAAUCUGCUCCCUGACCAAGGCUGUGGCAGGUUUAACGGGUAGCGUGGUGCUUUACUUACCCAGCCCUGGUAAGCCAUGCUGGGCAAAGGCUGGGUGCAGGCUCUGUGUUGCAGUUACCUCCCAGCCGCCUUGCCCGCUAGGCUGUUAUCCCACCUAGUGGCUGCAGUCUGCCUGCUCUCCCUCUGCACAAGAUGCUUUUUUCCCCCCCCACGAAACAAGUCAAAGUUUGACGUGUUACUGCAGUUAGCAGUGAGUACACCUUCCAGUUGCUUAGUCAGAUGGUCAAACGUAUGCCCUUGCCUUAACUGUGUUACGCCAAGCACAAGUUUCACACUCAGAUGGGUAUUCACAUCAUCUACAUUUAUACAUCAGAUAUAGAUGCCUGUCUAGUACAGUUAGCUUUGCAGUAUAAGUACUCUGUAUCACUCUUCUUACUACAUUUCUAUCUGGCCCCUAAUUUGGGCACAUCGAGAUGAUGUGAAUAAGCCCCUUCCUGUCCCUGCUUGUGGGACCAGCUCAGGUUAACCAAAGUCCAUAAUGGCAGUCCCAGGAGUGAAUUUUAUCUUCUCUGCUGUCCGUACACAGAUGUCCACAAUACACCUAUACGCUAUCCCUCCACUUAAUCAUCAGCCCAACUCUGGGCUGACUGAAGCCCAAAGUAAAAAUGCCGUUGCCCUCCAAAGAAGCGGGUUCAGGCCAAAAUUUUGAGUUUAAUGGAAAUGUUUAAGAAAAAUGAGGUCCUCUUGAAAAAAUUUCUUCUACUAAUCUCCUCAAAUCACAUGAAAAAAAUCCAUUGAAACAUAUUUUGAUGACAACAAGAAAAAAGGACUUGCUAAAAUACUGCAAGAAACUUCCUUGCAAUUGGACAGGAGUAACUUUUAUGGUAAGCCUUCAAGAUGGAGGUCACCUGUGAAAUCCUUUAUUGCUUCCUUCUAACCUUGCUCUUCACCCCUCUAUUUCUAUGCCACGUUUUGCUCUGUUACAACUUUCCAAAAGUUGCUUUAUUGUCAAAAGAAGUGGGACCUCUCCCCUCUUAAUUCUUUAAUUCUUAAAUGCACACAUGACUUGCAUUGACUGGAUGGACCAACUCUCUAGGUUGUCUUCUGUACCCAGAAGAACCUCUUGUUUCCUUUAAUUAUCUUUUUUCCCUUCUUUUGAUGUCAGUCUUGCUUUGUGAGGCUAAAGAAAAACUGCAGGGUGAAGGCAGCUGAAGUUUCCAGCAUGUGCCUGAAA